rnacentral:lncRNA from 1 species
CUCAGGGAAAGUUCUGCUGUGAAGCAGCCCUGAUUGGAAGGUUGGAUGCUGAGAACCUGAGCCAAGCAGUCCUAGGCUAUGCUGUGGAGAGAGGACAUGGUUAUAUGAGGCUUUCUAGAAGGGAGAGGACAGAUAUUGAGCUUUGACACAAAGGAAAAGGCAGUGAAGGAGAUAAGUAAAGCUUGAGUCCCAUUCCAGAAGAACACUGAACUCUUUUGUUCACACUUCAUCUCAGGGCUAAAACAUAGAGCCAAAAUAGGAAGCUUCCCAAAGAAUAAUUAAGCAAUAAACAUUGCAGGGUAUGCCUUGUUUUGUAAGACACACCACUACUUCUUCUUCCCUAAAGCUAAAAAGGUGAUCAGCACUUUGUUUUGAUCUUGAACUCUUAAGGAAAACAUUCCUGUCAGUUUUAAGAAGCGCAUGCAACAAACCAAAUACCCCAUACAUAGAGAACAUGGAGAAUGGGGCAGGAUACAUAAAUGAUAUCACUCUUUGAAGGUAAAAUGACAAGACUUGCUUCAAGAAAGAGGUAGCAGGAAGCCACCACGCUGUCUUUCGAUAUUACUUGUCACUGAAUGAGCAAAUGUGUGCUUAUUUGAGAGUAGCUGGGUAUAAUAUAAAGUCAAACAAGGGAUUUCUCUCCCAGCCCUACAUAGAGUGUGGACAUUUGCUUUCAUAAUUUAGCUCUUCUGACUCCCCUGGAAACAUGAUUACAUCCUCUUUUCCCCAGAACCCACUGGUAUAAAAUAUUAGUUAUAGGACUGUUUCUAUGGUAACUCAGAGGGAACAGCUUGGAGGAGGGGGAGUCUGUGACAUCUAAUUUUUUGUUUGUCUCCGUUUCCUAUAUUAAAAGACAUGGAAAUGUCAACAUGAGGUUACAAAAACAGCAGUAUAUUUAAAGUUGUAUGGCAAGUGCCUCUUGGUCCUGUCAGUGUAUCUCUGUGAUUAUAUGUAUAUUUUCCUUUGGAGAUAACAUUAAAAGCCUACACUGAAGGCUUUUCUUUCUGAGAGGCCUCCGGUCCACAAUAUAACAGUCUUAGAAUAUUGGGCAGCUAACCCGAUAUGCAGCCUGCACUUGAUUCCGAUCCACUUAAUUCAACCACAUCAUCAUCAUAAGACACUUUUUCGCAUUUAUUAUGCUAUUACUUAUGUUUAUUGUCAUGUUUUUAUUUAUUUAUUUUCUUUUUAGGACUGCAUCUGCAGCAUAUGGAAGUUCCCCGGCUAAGGAGCCUCAGCUGCCAGCUACACCGCAGCUCACCGCAACCAAGGACCCUUAACCCACUGAGCAAGGCCAGGGGUGGAACUCCUGUCCUCAUGGAUACUAGUCAGGUUUAUAACCCACUGAGACACCAUGGGAACUCUUUAGGUCAUGUUUUAAAAGGCGGUAGAAAAGCUUUGUCAUUCAAAGUCCCAGCAGUUCAGACCGCAACUUCUUUCUGUUCC